rnacentral:rRNA from 1 species
UACGUAGGGGGCAAGCGUUGUCCGGAUUUAUUGGGCGUAAAGAGCGUGUAGGCGGCCCGAUAAGUCCGCCGUGAAAGUCCAGGGCUCAACCCUGGAAUGCCGGUGGAAACUGUCGGGCUGGAGUCCGGAAGAGGCGAGUGGAAGUUCCUGGUGUAGCGGUGAAAUGACGCAGAUAUCAGGAGGAACACCGGUGGCGAAGGCGGCAUCCUGGACCAAUACUGACACUGAGGAGCGAAAGCCCAGGGGAGGCAAAACGGG